GAAGUGUUUAAAUAGUUCAUAAAAAAAAUCAGUUUUUCUUCUAACAUUUUUUUUCUCUGAUCUUUGAUCAUUUAUUUAUAAAUAAAUGAUUUACAUAUUUGCCCUGUUACUGUGAUGGACCCAUUUUUUGGAUCAUUAGUGACAGAUGACAAUAAUCAAAUAUCAUGUUUAUUUAAAUAAAAAUGUUUUAUAAGUAUUGAUCAUCAUUUUGUUAACAUUUCCAUUUUUAUGGCUUGGUGAACUUGGGCUGAAAGGAUAAAUUUUUGACUUGUAUGAUGCACAUGUUUGAUUGUGUCUUUAUUGAAUCUAUCAGUUAUCUUAAGCUACUUUUUAUUAGUUUUUCUGCUGAAUAAAAUAUCUUGUUGGUUUGAGGUGUUUGAAGUCUCUGUUUCCUAACCUUUUACGUUCUGUACCGUCUUUAGCUUCAGAUUAUUAAACAGAUUAUAAUUUUAAAAUCUGUCUAAACUUAAAUGUUUCAUUCAUUUCUCAGAUUGAGGGGCUGCAGUGUGUCAGCGAUCAGCUGUACUUUUUUGGUCUCAGCUUUAAAGACCAACCACUCCCAUCUGAGGGAGCUCGAUCUGAGCCAAAACAACCUACAGGAUCCAGAUGUGAAGCAGCUGUUGGAUCUUAAGGAAAGUCUGACUAUAGACUGGAGACCCUGAGGUUGGACUGAUAAUCUGUGUAACCAUGAGAGCAAACAGGACGACGAGUAGACUGAGGUUGAAGCAGCAGCAGGUUGUCGGUUCUUGUAGAAAACCGGUUCCCAGUAUUCCAGUUCCUUGGAAUUGCUAGUCCACCUGCGUGUGUCCUUAUUAGGAAUUUGCACUGGUGUGUGGGGCUAUAGUUAAAUGGUGAUUAUGUUUCAGCUAUUUUACUUGUUCCCAGAGCUAAUUAAGUAACAUACUGCAUUACUUUUAAGAAAAGUAUUCUGUGUAUUAUGUGUAAUAAUAAACAGUGACUACAACAAAGAGGGCAAAUACCUCAAACACGCACAAACGUUUGACUCAAGCAUGCACUUAAUUUGUAUGAAUGUCAUUUCUUCUUGCUGCUUAGUGACGGUGGUGACUCUCAAAACGGAUCAAAUGAGAAUCGAUAAGGAAUCAGAAUCACUAAAUUCUUAUCAAUUCCCAUCCGUAGCGUAGAGAUACUGUAACUCGGCUGUUUUACUGAGAGCUGGAUCAAGAACUGACACUGUGACGUUUCAGUGUUCUUCUUCUACUCUGCAGUGAGACGUUAGCCCCAGGUUCAUCUGGUCCUCCAGGUCUUUGCCAUGUUUGCUGCUCUGCUGUGGGUUUGUGCUGCAGACGGUGUCUUUAUGUGGCAGAGAUAAAUGUCUCCUUUAUCUCCGCCACAUAAAAGGCCUUUAAAUCACAAGUUUAAAUACCACACCUAAUGAAAUGCAACUUUUUUUUAUGGUGAUGAGAUGAACACCCUGUUAUAUUACUUAAGUGCAGCGCCAAUUCACUUCAUUCACUGUAUAAACUGUUUUGUUGUUGUUUGUUUUGUUGUUUGUUGUUUGCUGAUACUGACAUUACUGACACAUUAAAGUCCAUUAUUCACUGGCAUCAACACUUACCCCUUACAUCAUAUCCUGCCAAGCAUGACCACAUACAGGAAGUUAUAAAACCACAGCCUUUUCCACAUCCACAUCCUUUACCUCCAAACCAUCGCGACAGGAGAAAUGCAUCAAGACCUUUUAGGUCCUAUAAGUUAAAUUAACUCUCUAAUAUUUAUUCUAACAUCUAUCUAUUAUGAUAUUUUGUCAACAUGUCAUUUCAAAGAGUGCUUCAUGAUUGCUUGAAUACCUGUUAAAUUUGGCGCAUUGGAUUCCUUCGAUUUCUUUGUUAAUAACUUGAAGACAGUGAAAAUAAAUAAAAUGGUGGCUAUAUUCAUGAU